rnacentral:rRNA from 1 species
UCGAGAAUCUUUCGCAAUGCCCGAAAGGGUGACGAAGCGACGCCGCGUGCGGGAGGAAGGCCUUCGGGUUGUAAACCGCUGUCGGGAGUUAAGAAAUGCAAGGAUGUUAAUAGCGUUCUUGCUUGACUAAGGCUCCGGAGGAAGCCACGGCUAACUCUGUGCCAGCAGCCGCGGUAAUACAGAGGCGGCAAGCGUUGUUCGGAAUUAUUGGGCGUAAAGAGCACGUAGGCGGCUGUGUAAGUCGGUUGUGAAAGCCUUCCGCUCAACGGAAGAACGGCAUCCGAUACUGCAUGGCUUGAGUGUGGGAGGGGAGAGUGGAACUUCUGGUGGAGCGGUGAAAUGCGUAGAUAUCAGAAGGAACACCGGCGGCGAAGGCGACUCUCUGGUCCAUAACUGACGCUG